rnacentral:rRNA from 1 species
AUUGAACGCUGGCGGCAGGCCUAACACAUGCAAGUCGAGCGGAUGAAGGGAGCUUGCUCCUGGAUUCAGCGGCGGACGGGUGAGUAAUGCCUAGGAAUCUGCCUGGUAGUGGGGGAUAACGUCCGGAAACGGGCGCUAAUACCGCAUACGUCCUGAGGGAGAAAGUGGGGGAUCUUCGGACCUCACGCUAUCAGAUGAGCCUAGGUCGGAUUAGCUAGUUGGUGGGGUAAAGGCCUACCAAGGCGACGAUCCGUAACUGGUCUGAGAGGAUGAUCAGUCACACUGGAACUGAGACACGGUCCAGACUCCUACGGGAGGCAGCAGUGGGGAAUAUUGGACAAUGGGCGAAAGCCUGAUCAAGCCAUGCCGCGUGUGUGAAGAAGGUCUUCGGAUUGUAAAGCACUUUAAGUUGGGAGGAAGGGCAGUAAGUUAAUAACUUGCUGUUUUGACGUUACCAACAGAAUAAGCACCGGCUAACUUCGUG